rnacentral:rRNA from 1 species
UACGUAGGGGGCGAGCGUUAUCCGGAUUUAUUGGGCGUAAAGGGUGUGUAGGCGGUUUGUUAAGUCUAAAAUCAAAGCCCGAGGCUUAACCUCGGUUCGUUUUAGAAACUGGCAAACUAGAGUGCAGUAGAGGCAAGUGGAAUUUCUAGUGUAGCGGUUAAAUGCGUAGAUAUUAGAAGGAACACCAGUGGCGAAGGCGGCUUGCUGGGCUGUAACUGACGCUGAGACACGAAAGCGUGGGGAGCAAA